CCGAUUUUAAGUGAUUCUCGGUUGGUUACUAUGCGAUAAUAUGCGAAGUCGGCCAAGACAAGAAAACACUCGGCAGUCAAUGUGAAACCGGCUCGCGAAUGUGAUGUGCUUCAUGCGCUAAGUGCGAACUUUUGACCGGAUGGAUUAUGAGGCGUAGUUGGAGUACAAUGGUCGGUCGCCUCCCAGUACAUUCCAAUCGCCUUACUAAGCCAUGAAGUCAUACAACACAAUUCAGCUAAAACCGUUUAUGAUUCAAUUCCAGUUUUAUAAUAUACAGCUGCCAUUGCCAUCGCUCACCUGCCGAAAGAGCUCAGAGGGACCGCUUUUACGGGCUCGUGCUGUGCAGUAGAAUUUAAAACCGGAACUUGUAAUUUUAAAGGUUAACGAGUGUUGUCGUGGGAAAGAAACUCUCUGAAUUGAGCAGCUGACAAUUGGUAGCAAAUUCGUCUGGAGCACGUCGAGCUUCCACUUUCACGUCUGGGGCUAUUCUGUCUUAAAAGUUCGAAUGUUGCGGAUUUCAAUUGUUAGUUACCCUCAACGGUCCAAAUAGUUUUUUUAAUCAACGUCCAACAUCCUUCCGGUUCUGAAAAGACGUCCUAAUGAAGUCGUCAACUUCCGUUGGGUGAAGACAGUCAACAAUAAGACGUAUUUUAUGGCAAGUUGGAUGAGGACAUCUGCCUAUAGGAAAAUCAGUACUCAACUCUAACGCAAUCAUUGGCCAGAAGCUCCACUUAAACGAAACUGGUUUUCACAGUGAUUUGACAGAGUAUUUGAUUCUGAGAUCAUUGUGAAAGCUGAUUUUGUUAAGUUUUCAUCGAGGGAGUCACUGUUCAACAAUCGUAUCGCAUUUAUUAUGCUAAAUGAGUUAAGCUCUGUUUAAACUUUUGAAGACGCUCUGGUAAUUUCAUAGUUUUAGUGCACAAUAAAAUAUAGUGUGUAAGAGUGUUAUGUACUGUAAAAAUACUUGGGUUUAACAGUGAAAUAAACUAGCGUUCUUAUAUAAUUAAAUACGUAAAUAUUGGGAAGUAAACUAAUCUUUAUCGUGGCUGGUCCUUUUGCUGCGGCAUUUCACGGAUUUUCAAUGUAUAUAAAUUCUAUUUGAUGUAACUUACCCACAGUUGACUUUUCUUGAGGACACGUGCCUUUUCUCGAUCAGCUAGUAUUGAAGUUAUUAGACCAUUUAUCUGGAAAACAACAAACACUCAAAACCCUUUGCACUACACUCAAUAAAUAACGCAUGUACUUUCAACUUAGUUUUAUAAUUUAAUUAGAAAUCGGUCUAGUAAUUUCUUUCACUCGACUUGCCUUUUUGCCCUUAAUGAUGAACAAAAAAUAUUGGCAUUUUGUUUGUUGACGUUUAGUUAAAUUUACGCAUAAUUAUUAGGAAAAUUAUUUGUUGUACCUACAUAUUGUAAGUAUUAGAACGAAAACAUUUUCAAUCGAGGCUCAAAAUGCAGAUCAUAAUUUUUGAAACCUAAUAAUACAGGGUGUUUCAUAAAUAAGUACCGUCAAUUCAGAGGUAAUAGACCUUGCCAAUAUAUACGUGGAUCAGCAAACGCUUCGCUUUCGAAGAACAGUGCGUCAAACUCUACUUUGAAAAAAGUACAAAAUUAUGUAUUUCUGCAAAACGGUGUUAUAACUUUAGAUAACUCUUAACAAAAACUGUUUAGUUCUUUGGUUCAUAAUGUUUUCCUCUUUGCCUUUGGCUCAUAAUGUAAAAUUUCAGCUUCAGCAUGUUUUUUUUACCGGGAAACGUAUGAUCGUACAACAGAAAUAAAUGAGUACUUUUUUCUUCGUAUCUGAACAAUUAAUUAAGAGGUAUUUUUUAUUCUUCGAAAAACCAGUGGUGUACGAUUUUUUUAUUCGAAAAUAUUCAAUAACGUAGCGGUGUGGCGGAAAUUUAUUUAACCGUUUUAUAGAAAUGUCUAAUUUUGUAUUUUUUUAAGUAAAGUUUGACGAGGAAAUUUAUUUAACCGUUUUAUAGAAAUGUCUAAUUUUGUAUUUUUUUAAGUAAAGUUGUAGACUUAGAUUUUUUCAUACUUGCGUAGGGGUUAUUUACCGCAAAAUGUACGGUACUUAUUUCUGAGAUACCCUGUACAUAUUUUUGAUGAAAUCUUGCUAUGCCAAGGAAUCCUACCGAAUAAAAAAUAAAAAUAAGAUGUAACGUAAGACGUAAGUGUUAAUGAGUCAAAUGAAUAAACGAUUUUCGAUUUACUUAAAUA